rnacentral:rRNA from 1 species
CCUACGGGCGGCUGCAGUGGGGAAUAUUGGACAAUGGGGGCAACCCUGAUCCAGCCAUGCCGCGUGUGUGAAGAAGGCCCUCGGGUUGUAAAGCACUUUCAGUGAGGAAGAACGCCUGGUGGUUAAUACCCAUCAGGAAAGACAUCACUCACAGAAGAAGCACCGGCUAACUCCGUGCCAGCAGCCGCGGUAAUACGGAGGGUGCGAGCGUUAAUCGGAAUUACUGGGCGUAAAGCGCGCGUAGGUGGCUUGAUAAGCCGGUUGUGAAAGCCCCGGGCUCAACCUGGGAACGGCAUCCGGAACUGUCAAGCUAGAGUGCAGGAGGGGAAGGUAGAAUUCCCGGUGUAGCGGUGAAAUGCGUAGAGAUCGGGAGGAAUACCAGUGGCGAAGGCGGCCUUCUGGACUGACACUGACACUGAGGUGCGAAAGCGUGGGUAGCAAACAGGAUUAGAUACCCUUGUAGUC